rnacentral:rRNA from 1 species
ACGGGUGAGUAACACGUAUCCAACCUGCCGUCUACUCUUGGACAGCCUUCUGAAAGGAAGAUUAAUACAAGAUGGCAUCAUGAGUCCGCAUGUUCACAUGAUUAAAGGUGUUCCGGUAGACGAUGGGGAUGCGUUCCAUUAGAUAGUAGGCGGGGUAACGGCCCACCUAGUCUUCGAUGGAUAGGGGUUCUGAGAGGAAGAUCCCCCACAUUGGAACUGAGACACGGUCCAA